rnacentral:rRNA from 1 species
UACGUAGGCAGCGAGCGUUUGUUCGGAGUUACUGGGCGUAAAGCGUGCGCAGGCGGUUUUGUAAGACAGGUGUGAAAUCCCCGGGCUUAACCUGGGAACUGCAUUUGUGACUGCAAGGCUGGAGUGCGGCAGAGGGGGAUGGAAUUCCGCGUGUAGCAGUGAAAUGCGUAGAUAUGCGGAGGAACACCGAUGGCGAAGGCAAUCCCCUGGGCCUGCACUGACGCUCAUGCACGAAAGCGUGGGGAGCAAACAGG